AGUUUUCGGGAGAGAGUUCAUAUGAGAGCCACCGAAGAGGCAAGCGGAGCAGAUCACAGUCGAAAUCUGCCGAGCGAAACUUUCAGGUAAAAGGACCGAAAAA
rnacentral:ncRNA from 1 species